GUGGGGAAUCUUCCGCAAUGGACGAAAGUCUGACGGAGCAACGCCGCGUGAGUGAUGAAGGUCUUCGGAUUGUAAAGCUCUGUUAAUCGGGACGAAAGAGCCUAGUGUGAAUAAUGCUAGGAAGUGACGGUACCGGAAUAGAAAGCCACGGCUAACUACGUGCCAGCAGCCGCGGUAAUACGUAGGUGGCAAGCGUUGUCCGGAAUUAUUGGGCGUAAAGCGCGCGCAGGCGGAUCUGCCAGUCUGUCUUAAAAGUUCGGGGCUUAACCCCGUGAUGGGAUGGAAACUACAGAUCUAGAGUAUCGGGGAGGAAAGUGGAAUUCCUAGUGUAGCGGUGAAAUGCGUAGAUAUUAGGAAGAACACCAGUGGCGAAGGCGACUUUCUGGACGAAAACUGACGCUGAGGCGCGAAAGCCAGGGGAGCGAACGGGAUUAGAUACCCCGGUAGUCC
rnacentral:rRNA from 1 species